rnacentral:rRNA from 1 species
GCCUGUGAUCUUGGAAACUGUUUAGUCCUGAGCCCAUUUAGCACUUAGAUGGGAGACCACCUGGGAAUCCUGGGUACUGUAAGCA